rnacentral:lncRNA from 10 species
ACUCUCUCCUGCUGAUGCUGCAGCUGCUGGGAUGCCAGGAGGGGAACCGCCUGAGGAAAGUGCUGAGAGAAAAGAGAGGGAGGGAUACAGACCGGGCCCAGAUGAGUUUGCGCUGAAUCUGAAGUCGGUAGGUCCCUGGACAUUUCUAUUAUGGAAGCCAAGAAGAACCUCCCCUCCACCCUCUGAAGCCAGUGUGGAUCGGGUUUCUGGCACUUGCAGUGUCUGCACGGUCUCCUCUCCUUCCUUCUCCAUUGCCCUUUCUCACCCGCCUGGGCCCGCCACCCUGAACUACCGGGACACAUGCUGUUCCUGCCUCCAGGCGUGCACUUCUUCCUGCAGCCUCCUCCCCUACUAACUCCUUCUUGAACUUGAUAGCUCCAUUGUCACUUUCGAGUCUUCCCUAAACCACUCCCUUCCCAAAUAAAACUGUUUCAUGUA